GACGUAGGGGGCGAGCGUUGUCCGGAAUUACUGGGCGUAAAGAGCACGUAGGCGGGAACCUAAGUCAGGUGUGAAAGACCGUGGCUCAACCACGGGGUGGCAUUUGAAACUGGGUUUCUUGAGGGCAGGAGAGGAAAGCAGAAUUCCUGGUGUAGCGGUGAAAUGCGUAGAAAUCAGGAGGAAUACCAGUGGCGAAGGCGGCUUUCUGGACUGACCCUGACGCUGAGGUGCGAAAGCGUGGGUAGCAAACAGGAUUAGAUACCCUGGUAGUCCCUGAG
rnacentral:rRNA from 1 species